GCAUGGCUGGAUACUGUGUUCUUUUAAUCAAUAUUUUAUACAAUGCACUGCAAAAAUAAAAGUUUCCCUUGAAAUGUUUCUGAUGGCAUGCUGCUAUUUCAUGGCACAUUAUUAUUAAAAGUGGCCAUUUCU